AUUUGCAGUGUGGUUCAGCUCUUUCCUCUCUCCUGCCUGUCAAAAAGAUGUUAUUCCUGUGAUUAAAACCAUUACAGUCCUUCAAAGGUUACACAUGACUUUCAGGCUUCAGCCUCUAUAGGAGCAGUGCUGGGAACUGAACCCAGGCCGUACACAUGCUAGAUGAAAGAACAAGAAGAAAAGGGGCCAGCCUGCCAUUGAAGGGGAGGUCUGAAGAUGAGCACCUUUUCCUGACACAGUAGAACCUCCACCAUCAGUCCCUGAUAUGAAACAAAUUGAGAUCUUUGAGUUCUUGGAAAACAACGAAGAACUUUUCAGCUCCACUGAAGGUCAGGCCCGUGGGAUAUGUGCAGUAAAUGCCAUGUGAAGACACAGAAAGAAGGCAUCCAUCUGUAAGUCAGAAGAAGGACCUCACCAGAUACCACAUGUGCUGGAACCUUGAUCUUAG